AGCAGCCGCCGCGGUAAAACGUAGGGUGCAAGCGUUAAUCGGAAUUACUGGGCGUAAAGCGUGCGCAGGCGGUUAUAUAAGACAGAUGUGAAAUCCCCGGGCUCAACCUGGGAACUGCAUUUGUGACUGUAUAGCUAGAGUACGGCAGAGGGGGAUGGAAUUCCGCGUGUAGCAGUGAAAUGCGUAGAUAUGCGGAGGAACACCGAUGGCGAAGGCAAUCCCCUGGGCCUGUACUGACGCUCAUGCACGAAAGCGUGGGGAGCAAACAGGAUUAGAUACCCCAGUAGUCCCUGUCUCUUAUAC
rnacentral:rRNA from 1 species